rnacentral:rRNA from 1 species
UGCAAGUCGAACGAAGUAGCAAUACUUAGUGGCAGACGGGUGAGUAACAUGUGGGUAUCUACCCUUUGGCCUGGAAUAACACGAGGAAACUUGUGCUAAUACCGGAUAAGUCUUUACGGAGAAAGCUUUAUGCACCAUUGGAUGAGCCCGCACUUGAUUAGUUAGUUGGUGGGGUAAUGGCCUACCAAGACUGUGAUCAAUAGCUGAUUUGAGAGGAUGAUCAGCCACAUUGGGACUGAGACACGGCCCAAACUCCUACGGGAGGCAGCAGUGGGGAAUCUUGCACAAUGGAGGAAACUCUGAUGCAGCGAUGCCGCGUGAGUGAAGAAGGCCCUUGGGUUGUAAAGCUCUUUCGUCGGGGAAGAAAAUGACUGUACCCGAAUAAGAAGGUCCGGCUAACUUCGUGCCAGCAGCCGCGGUAAUACGAAGGGACCUAGCGUAGUUCGGAAUUACUGGGCUUAAAGAGUUCGUAGGUGGUUGAAAAAGUUAGUGGUGAAAUCCCAGAGCUUAACUCUGGAACUGCCAUUAAAACUUUUCAGCUAGAGUAUGAUAGAGGAAAGCAGAAUUUCUAGUGUAGAGGUGAAAUUCGUAGAUAUUAGAAAGAAUACCAAUUGCGAAGGCAGCUUUCUGGAUCAUUACUGACACUGAGGAACGAAAGCAUGGGUAGCGAAGAGGAUUAGAUACCCUCGUAGUCCAUGCCGUAAACGAUGUGUGUUAGACGUUGGAAAUUUAUUUUCAGUGUCGCAGCGAAAGCGAUAAACACACCGCCUGGGGAGUACGACCGCAAGGUUAAAACUCAAAUGAAUUGACGGGGACCCGCACAAGUAGUGGAGCAUGUGGUUUAAUUCGAAGAUACGCGCAGAACCUUACCAACAC